GAUGAACGCUGGCGGCGUGCCUAAUACAUGCAAGUCGAGCGAACAGACGAGGAGCUUGCUCCUCUGACGUUAGCGGCGGACGGGUGAAUAACACGUGGAUAACCUACCUAUAAGACUGGGAUAACUUCGGGAAACCGGAGCUAAUACCGGAUAAUAUAUUGAACCGCAUGGUUCAAUAGUGAAAGACGGUUUUGCUGUCACUUAUAGAUGGAUCCACGCCGCAUUAGCUAGUUGGUAAGGUAACGGCUUACCAAGGCAACGAUGCGUAGCCGACCUGAGAGGGUGAUCGGCCACACUGGAACUGAGACACGGUCCAGACUCCUACGGGAGGCAGCAGUAGGGAAUCUUCCGCAAUGGGCGAAAGCCUGACGGAGCAACGCCGCGUGAGUGAUGAAGGUCUUCGGAUCGUAAAACUCUGUUAUUAGGGAAGAACAAAUGUGUAAGUAACUAUGCACGUCUUGACGGUACCUAAUCAGAAAGCCACGGCUAACUACGUG
rnacentral:rRNA from 1 species